rnacentral:rRNA from 1 species
GAGGAAUAUUGGGCAAUGCCCGCAAGGGUGACCCAGCAACGCCGCGUGGAGGAUGAAUGUCGUAAGAUUGUAAACUCCUGUUAGAGGGGAAGAAUAGUACCGGUUGGACCGGUAUAUGACUGUACCCUCAGAGAAAGCCCCGGCUAACUACGUGCCAGCAGCCGCGGUAAUACGUAGGGGGCAAGCGUUGUCCGGAUUUACUGGGUGUAAAGGGCGCGCAGGCGGGAUAAAAAGUCAGUGGUGAAAUCCUACAGCUUAACCGUAGAACUGCCUUUGAUACUUUUAUUCUUGAGUUCGGGAGAGAGAGACGGAAUUCCAGGUGUAGUGGUGAAAUACGUAGAUAUCUGGAAGAACACCAGUUGCGAAGGCGGUCUCUUGGUCCGACACUGACGCUGAGGCGCGAAAGCGUGGGGAGCAAACA